rnacentral:rRNA from 1 species
UACGUAGGGCGCAAGCGUUGUCCGGAAUUAUUGGGCGUAAAGGGCUCGUAGGCGGUUUUGUCACGUCGGGAGUGAAAAACUCAGGGCUCAACCCUGAGCGUGCUUCCGAUACGGGCAGACUAGAGGUAUGCAGGGGAGAACGAAUUCCUGGUGUAGCGGUGGAAUGCGCAGAUAUCUGCAGGAACACCCGUGGCGAAAGCGGCGCGCUGGACCACUACUGACGCUGAGGAACGAAAGCUAGGGGAGCAAACAGG